CCUUUGGAGCGUCAAAAAAAACGUGAUUAGCCAGUCAGAAAUGGCGGCGAAAGCGGAUGCGGUGAAUUAGGAA
ncrna:unclassified sequences RAGATH-18 RNA